rnacentral:rRNA from 1 species
ACGUACACUCCUACGGGAGGCAGCAGUGGGGAAUAUUGGACAAUGGGCGCAAGCCUGAUCCAGCCAUGCCGCGUGAGUGAUGAAGGCCCUAGGGUUGUAAAGCUCUUUCACCGGAGAAGAUAAUGACGGUAUCCGGAGAAGAAGCCCCGGCUAACUUCGUGCCAGCAGCCGCGGUAAUACGAAGGGGGCUAGCGUUGUUCGGAAUUACUGGGCGUAAAGCGCACGUAGGCGGAUCGAUCAGUCAGGGGUGAAAUCCCAGGGCUCAACCCUGGAACUGCCUUUGAUACUGUCGAUCUGGAGUAUGGAAGAGGUGAGUGGAAUUCCGAGUGUAGAGGUGAAAUUCGUAGAUAUUCGGAGGAACACCAGUGGCGAAGGCGGCUCACUGGUCCAUUACUGACGCUGAGGUGCGAAAGCGUGGGGAGCAAACAGGAUUAGAUACCCUUGUAGUCCCA